GUGCUAAUGCCUUUUGUAUUGUCUCUGGCCAAAUACCUCCUUGUUCAGUGUGUAAUCUGAACUCUGCUGAAACCCCUAAGAGUGCUUAUGGUCCUCUGCAACUCAGACCCGUCUACACUUUCCUUCCCAGUAAGGGCUCUGUUGUUUCAAGCCCAGAAUACACCAUACCAACUGCGUGCUGCUAGUCCUCCUUCCUAUACACCAUCACCACUUAUACUUUAACAUACAGUACAAGUUCUAUUAAGAAAAGCAAAGGGAGAAUGUGCUUGAAAACUUUUAGAGCCUCCAAAUUUAUCAUCAACGGGGUUUUUUUCUAACAUUAUUAUUCUGUCCAAACUAACACUCUCUAAUCUCAUCUGUUCUACUUUCUCUCUGGAAAGCUUAUAAUCCCUAUUUACCUGUUGAGAUGUUAUUUGCCCUUCAAAGUCCCCUCAGACUCUUUUGCCUCCAGGGCAGCUUUCUCAAUUCUUGCAGGUGGGAACUGUAUUCUUAGAUCUCCCUCAAUACCUAACUAACAUAGACCUUGGCCCAGAAGCAGUUUCUCAAUAAACCCACAAUUGUAUUAUUCUAGCCCUUGUUUAGUUUCUAUCUAAGUAUACAGAAAGAUGGCUUUACUAUUUGCAUUUCAGAAAAAUACAUCCAGACCUUUCAGGUGUACCCAUUUUACAAAUCAGGAUGUAUUAGAGUUAACUCAAAAUAAUGCAGAUUCAACCUAUAUAUUAUUCUAGUGAACAUUUUCUUAAAUGUUAGUAUUAAUAAUGCAACUAACUGACUAUGGUUUCUUUCCAAGAAUUGUAAGCGAAUAUGUCUACUUUAGGAAACCAUCCUAAGGAAAUAAACCAAAACAGAGGAAGGGCAGUAGGUACAGUCUUCGUCACAUCAUUGUUUUAAUAAAAAAGAAAAAGAAACAAUUGGAAUGCCCCAAACUUGGGCUGUUCUAACAAAUAAUAAAUAUUUGAGUUUAUACUUGACACCAGAAACUAAGGACUGAUCAAGUAGACCAGAACACAUCCUCAUGACUAUGAUGCCAUGAUGUUAAUAAUGUGUUAGCAGUUGUAAAUUAUGGUAAAUAUUUAAAAGGAUAUUGAAUUACAUAUAUACACACACAUUACAAUCACUAUGUAAUACAAAGCAAAAGCCUAUGACUGGAAAGAACAGAUUGGCACACAAUAUACCAAAAUAGUAUGGAUAAUGAAAUUUUUAAAAUUUCUUCUUUCAAAUAUUCUCAAGGGUCAUGUAUUUUAGACAGAACAAAAUAAAUUCUUUGAAGUAUUCAGAAAAUGAUAGAGUGUUCCUAAUUUAGCUGGUAGAGUUUCCCUUCAUAAUGUUUCCAUGCAUUUUUAUUCAAAGCUUGUUUUAUUUUUAAAAGACACUUGGUUGAUCU
ensembl:lncRNA